rnacentral:rRNA from 1 species
UACGUAGGGUGCAAGCGUUGUCCGGAAUUAUUGGGCGUAAAGAGCUCGUAGGCGGUUUGUCGCGUCUGGUGUGAAAAUCCAGGGCUUAACCCUGGACCUGCAUCGGGUACGGGCAGACUAGAGUGCGGUAGGGGAGAUCGGAAUUCCUGGUGUAGCGGUGAAAUGCGUAGAUAUUAGGAGGAACACCAGUGGCGAAGGCGGCUUACUGGACUGUAAAUGACGCUGAGGCUCGGAAAGCGUGGGGAGCAAACAGG